rnacentral:rRNA from 1 species
GAACUGAAGAGUUUGAUCCUGGCUCAGAUUGAACGCUGGCGGCAUGCCUUACACAUGCAAGUCGAACGGCAGCACGGGAGCAAUCCUGGUGGCGAGUGGCGAACGGGUGAGUAAUAC